UGAGUAACACGUGGGUGAUCUGCCCUGCACUUCGGGAUAAGCCUGGGAAACUGGGUCUAAUACCGGAUAUGACCUCCUAUCGCAUGGUGGGUGGUGGAAAGAUUUAUCGGUGCAGGAUGGGCCCGCGGCCUAUCAGCUUGUUGGUGGGGUAAUGGCCUACCAAGGCGACGACGGGUASCCGACCUGAGAGGGUGACCGGCCACACUGGGACUGAGACACGGCCCAGAYUCCUACGGGAGGCAGCAGUGGGGAAUAUUGCACAAUGGGCGAAAGCCUGAUGCAGCGACGCCGCGUGAGGGAUGACGGCCUUCGGGUUGUAAACCUCUUUCAGCAGGGACGAAGCGCAAGUGACGGUACCUGCAGAAGAAGCACCGGCUAACUACGUGCCAGCAGCCGCGGUAAUACGUAGGGUGCAAGCGUUGUCCGGAAUUACUGGGCGUAAAGAGUUCGUAGGCGGUUUGUCGCGUCGUUUGUGAAAACCAGCAGCUCAACUGCUGGCUUGCAGGCGAUACGGGCAGACUUGAGUACUGCAGGGGAGACUGGAAUUCCUGGUGUAGCGGUGAAAUGCGCAGAUAUCAGGAGGAACACCGGUGGCGAAGGCGGGUCUCUGGGCAGUAACUGACGCUGAGGAACGAAAGCGUGGGUAGCGAACAGGAUUAGAUACCCUGGUAGUCCACGCCGUAAACGGUGGGCGCUAGGUGUGGGUUCCUUCCACGGAAUCCGUGCCGUAGCUAACGCAUUAAGCGCC
rnacentral:rRNA from 1 species